CUGGCUCAGGAUGAACGCUAGCUACAGGCUUAACACAUGCAAGUCGAGGGUAGCAUGGUCUUAGCUGCUAAGACUGAUGGCGACCGGCGCACGGGUGAGUAACGCGUAUCCAACCUGGCCCUUAGUAGGGAACAGCCCGGCGAAAGUCGGAUUAAUGCCCUAUGUUUUUCCAAUGAUGGCAUCUGACUUGGAACAAAGAUUCAUCGCUAAGGGAUGGGGAUGCGUCUGAUUAGCUUGUCGGCGGGGUAACGGCCCACCGAGGCGACGAUCAGUAGGGGUUCUGAGAGGAAGGUCCCCCACAUUGGUACUGAGACACGGACCAAACUCCUACGGGAGGCAGCAGUGAGGAAUAUUGGUCAAUGGGCGCGAGCCUGAACCAGCCAAGUAGCGUGCCAGGAAGACUGCCCUAUGGGUUGUAAACUGCUUUUAUGCGGGAAUAAAGUCAGGUACGCGUACCUGUUUGUAUGUACCGCAUGAAUAAGGACCGGCUAAUUCCGUGCCAGCAGCCGC
rnacentral:rRNA from 1 species